UACGUAGGUGACAAGCGUUGUCCGGAUUUACUGGGCGUAAAGAGCGCGCAGGCGGUCGAUCAAGUCGAGUGUGAAAGCCCCCGGCUCAACUGGGGAGGGUCAUUCGAUACUGAUCGACUCGAAGGCAGGAGAGGGUAGUGGAAUUCCCGGUGUAGUGGUGAAAUGCGUAGAUAUCGGGAGGAACACCAGUGGCGAAGGCGACUACCUGGCCUGUUCUUGACGCUGAGGUGCGAAAGCGUGGGGAGCGAACAGG
rnacentral:rRNA from 1 species